UAAGAUGCUAGAGAAACAACAAGGAUAGAAGCAAAAGAAGUGAAAUAUGAAGUAAUUAGAAGAGAAGUAUGGCUGAAGAUAUUUUUGAUAUGUCGUUAGUGCUGUGAUAAGUUUUCAGCCUCAUCGUCACCUUGGAUAGAUAUGGAACUGAGUUAAGAGCUGUGAUGACAUUUUAUGAUAAGUUGUCAAGAAGCUGAUAGGUUAUCAAAAUUGCCAUCAGCCUAAAGCAGAAC
rnacentral:lncRNA from 1 species